rnacentral:rRNA from 1 species
AUUGAACGCUAGCGGGAUGCUUUACACAUGCAAGUCGAACGAGUGGCGGACGGGUGAGUAAUAUAUCGGAACGUGCCCAGUAGCGGGGGAUAACUCCUGGAAGGAGGGGCAAAUACCGCAAACUUUUGGAGCGGCCGAUAGCGGAUUAGCUAGUGGGUGGGGUAAAGGCUCACCAAGGCAACGAUCCGUAGCUGGUUUGAGAGGACGACCAGCCACACUGGGACUGAGACACGGCCCAGACUCCUACGGGAGGCAGCAGUGGGGAAUUUUGGACAAUGGGGGAAACCCUGAUCCAGCCAUCCCGCGUGUAUGAGAAGGCCUUCGGGUUGUAAAGUACUUUUGGCAGAGAAGCGGUAUCUGCAGAAUAAGCACCGGCUAACUACGUGCCAGCAGCCGCGGUAAUAC